UGGAUGUUAGAGGAGAAGACGGUGAGGAGAGUGGAGAAGAAAGGUAGAAGGAAAAAACAGAACGUGGAUUUUGGGUAAAACAGAAGCAUGAAUCGGGAGGGUUAAACAGGGACCAAAAUUGAAGCAGCACCUAAUCUGAGCUCAAGGAAGGGAUUAGAAAACGGUAGAUUUUGGGGAUUAGAUCAGUAGUGUAUUAGACCUGUAAUAGCAAUACACUGAACCAAACAAAGUAUUAGAGAGGGAUUAAGCGGGACCCACCGAUUAGGGGUGUAUUGGCUAUGCCAAUACACCCAACCAAACAUGGUGUUAGGGUAUUUU
rnacentral:lncRNA from 1 species